rnacentral:tRNA from 1 species
GCAUUGGUGGUUGAGUGGUAGAAUUUACGCCUGCCACGCGGGAGGCCCGGAUUCGAAUCCCGGCCAAUGCA